rnacentral:rRNA from 1 species
AUGAUGUUUCCAACAUUGCUCAUGAGGAGACCCCCAGUUUCCUCAUACAUUUUAGGAGAUUUUGAUCACUCCCAUCCAUUGCAUGAUCCUCAUACUUAUCUGCACAAUAUGCUUCCCAUGAAUAAACAUACUAUUGAUGUGCCAUAUACUUGUAUGCUCAAUUUGCAUCCUCAUCAUGUUAUACACAAUAACUAUUCUUUCAUGAUGGAUGACAUGUUCUUAUACCAUGCAUCAAAUUUCUUUGAGGGAUGCUUAUCUUAUGCUAACUCACACGUACACAUACACAUCAUGAUGGAUGAUGUGUACAUUUACCACACACACAAUUUCUUUCGUUUGUGUUUCUUUUGUGUAGGUACCCAUGAAUACUUGUUAACCUCGCAAUCCCAUGAGUUGACAAAACGAGUUCUAGAGAGCAACGAUGACUUGGGAUCCCAUGGAUUGCAUUUCCCACCGCUCUCUUCGUGCAAAGACUUCACACAUUUCUUCUACAUGACCCUCACUUGGCUAUGGGUUAUUGUCCAUUACAUAUUCUAUGCCCAUCUUGCCAUGUUCACUUUGCAUGAUAUGAUCAUUACUAUGCUUUUGCCAUGCAUUCGUGACUCAUGCUUUGCAUUACACAUGAUGAUAGAUUCUCAUACUUGUAUGUGUAUUUGCAAGCUUGGUGGAGAUAUUGCUUGUUAUUGCCAUGUUUUCUUUGUGCCCCAUGCAUAUGAUGAUACUUUCAUUUUGCUUUGUGUUCGUGCUUGCGAUAUGUCAUGUGCAUUGUCUAUGUCUAUUAUUUGCUCACAUGACAUGAUUGCCAUGAUUUCCUCUAGUAUGUUUCAUCUUCACACUACUAGCUUGCACGACUUGAUUACCAUGCUUGACUUGAUUGCCUCACACAUGAUGAAAAAUUGCUCUUUCUAUUGUGUUGAGUGA